rnacentral:rRNA from 1 species
ACAACGACGACGCCGCCGCCGCGAUGUUGUGUUGUGGUGGCGUUAGAAAUGAGCUCUUUUCUUUUUGUGUUGUGGCGUUAGCGGUGGACGUGGCUUGGCCUCGUUUAGAGGCCGCUCGAGCUCGGCUUCGCCGCUUGGGCGCGCUCGUCCUCUCUACCUAGGCCUGCUCCACUUCAGCUUCGAGGUUCCGGACCGGAAGCCGUUGCAGGACCGGCGGCGGCGGGCGCUGAUGUUCUUCCUUCAAUAUCGAUUUCUCUUCCGAGUUCGUCGUGGACGCUAGGUACUACUUCAGCUAGAACUACUCAAUGACCUACUGGGUCUCGAACUCUUUAACGUACGACUUGCCGAACGACGAGAAUUCUCUCUCCAGCUCUUCGCACUCCACGAUUUCUCCGUUCCAGUACCACUUAUGUCCCUUUAUUGGCUUCCCCUGAAGAAUCCUCUCCAGUGAGCACCACUGUUCCAGUAGACAGUAAAGAUGGUAGCACUUAAAAUGGCGACGUUCUAGUACCUAUUCGUAAACUUCCGUGAACGUGGCCAGAUAAACCCUUGAUUUAAGCAGUUCGAACUACGGCUUUUACGAGGGAAGAAACACCGUUUUGAUCGUUAGUUUUGCAACGGUACACAAUAUAACAAGUUCUUCCCAUAACGAGAACUAGCCAACCAACCAAAGCUACUGGAACCUUCAUUUCUACUAAAAAGAUGGUCCCGAAACCUUUUACAUGACUUCUCCUUUCCAUAUUAACUCCUUUUCUUCUUUCUGCUACUACUGCUUCUACUACUCUGACUGUACAGUUUCCUAUCCUCCCAAUCUAGAAGGUGACGAAUGCUAAGCCUAAGUCUAACUUUUCUACUUCACUAUACUAGGACAGAAAACAUUGUAAUAUUAAAACAGAGAAAACAUGAGAUCGAGAGCCUUCAAGGAAUACUAAAUACACACGGCAUAACAUAGCUUGUUCUCUUGACCUUCGGCCUACAUAAUCACUAGACAGUCAUUGAGGUCAAAAUGUGGUCAAUAGCCUCAUGUUAUGUAUACAUACUGAUUCAUAAUCACGACGUUAAUACGUAGUCACAAUCCG